rnacentral:rRNA from 1 species
UACGUAGGGGCCGAGCGUUGUCCGGAGUUAUUGGGCGUAAAGCGCGCGCAGGCGGCCUCGCGCGCCCGACGUGAAAGCCCCCGGCUUAACCGGGGAGGGUCGUUGGGGACGGCGGGGCUUGAGGGCGGGAGAGGGUGGUGGAAUUCCCGGUGUAGUGGUGAAAUGCGUAGAGAUGUGGAGGAACACCGAUGGCGAAGGCAGCCCCCUGGGUUAACACUGACGCUCAGGCACGAAAGCGUGGGGAGCAAACAGG